rnacentral:rRNA from 1 species
AGUGAACGCUGGCGGUAGGCCUAACACAUGCAAGUCGAACGGCAGCACAGUAAGAGCUUGCUCUUACGGGUGGCGAGUGGCGGACGGGUGAGGAAUACAUCGGAAUCUACUUUUUCGUGGGGGAUCACGUAGGGAAACUUACGCUAAUACCGCAUACGACCUACGGGUGAAAGCAGGGGAUCUUCGGACCUUGCGCGAAUGAAUGAGCCGAUGUCGGAUUAGCUAGUUGGCGGGGUAAAGGCCCACCAAGGCGACGAUCCGUAGCUGGUCUGAGAGGAUGAUCAGCCACACGGGAACUGAGACACGGUCCAGACUCCUACGGGAGGCAGCAGUGGGGAAUAUGGGACAAUGGGCGCAAGCCUGAUCCAGCCAUACCGCGUGGGUGAAGAAGGCCUUCGGGUUGUAAAGCCCUUUUGUGGGGAAAGAAAAGCAGCAGGUUAAUACCCCGCUGUUCUGACGGUACCCAAAGAAUAAGCACCGGCUAACUUCGUG